CAUGUUGAAACUCUGGUUCUCAUAUGAUUAUUGAAGUUAAGCAACGUUAAACCUCGGUAGUACAUUGAUGGGUGACCGCUUAGGAAUACCAAGUGCUGUAAG